UGGGGAAUCUUCCGCAAUGGACGAAAGUCUGACGGAGCAACGCCGCGUGAGUGAAGAAGGUUUUCGGAUCGUAAAACUCUGUCUUUUGGGGCGAACGUGAGUAUGGUGAACAAUCAUAGUCAGUGACGGUACCAAAGGAGGAAGCCACGGCUAACUACGUGCCAGCAGCCGCGGUAAUACGUAGGUGGCAAGCGUUGUCCGGAAUUAUUGGGCGUAAAGAGCGCGUAGGCGGGAUAGUCAGUCUGUUGUAAAGUGCGGGGCUCAACCCCGUGAUCGCAAUGGAAACAGCUAUUCUUGAGUGCAGGAGAGGAAAGUGGAAUUCCCAGUGUAGCGGUGAAAUGCGUAGAUAUUGGGAGGAACACCAGUGGCGAAGGCGACUUUCUGGACUGUGUCUGACGCUGAGGCGCGAAAGCCAGGGGAGCGAACGGGAUUAGAUACCCCGGUAGUCCUGGCCGUAAACGAUGGGUACUAGGUGUGGGAGGUAUCGACCCCUUCCGUGCCGGAGUUAACGCAAUAAGUACCCCGCCUGGGGAGUACGGUCGCAAGACUGAAACUCAAAUGAAUUGACGGGGUCAUAGCUGUUUCCUG
rnacentral:rRNA from 1 species